UCAGAAUGUUGCGGUGAAUACGUUCCCGGGUCUUGUACACCACCGCCCGUCACACCAUGGGAGUUGGAAAUGCCCGAAGUCAGUGACCCAACCAAAAGGAGGGAGCUGCCGAAGGCAGGUUCGAUGACUGGGGUGAAGUCGUAACAAGGUAGC
rnacentral:rRNA from 1 species